UCAAGUAAAAGCCAAACCUGUAGCGAUACAGGCACGGAAAGCCACGGGUCUCACGGGGAGACAGCCGGGUUGCCUUG
rnacentral:ncRNA from 1 species